GGCAUAUUCCACACACCUGAUGCCGCUCUGGGAGAACCAGGCAGCCUGGGACAGCUUUCCCAGCCAGAGAAUAUCUGGCUCAGUGGGCAGGGUGUCCUCUAUGCAGCUGGAGUCAAGGCUCAGCUCACUGUGAUCCUCAGGGGCCUGAGCAGUGACACACGCCACCCCCAGGGAGCGGCAGAGCCAGAGGCAGAGCACGAUGCUCAGGAGAAAUGUCCCCAAAACCCUAGGCAUGGGGCUGAUGCUGGUCUUUGCUCUCCAUUUCCUCCUGAUGUUUUAUGCCAAGGGGAUUUUACAAAAGCUGGUUCUGGGUGAUCUCCAGAAGAAGCUUUAUUUGCCUCCAUCUGAACAGAAUGGGACAGUGAUGGAGAGACUCUCUCACCUGGAGGUGGAUUUGCUGCACCUGAGAGAAAGGAUGAAACUGGCUAUGAAGCAGCCAAAAGAUGUGGGUGACACACUGGCGAGGGUGAAAGAUGAAGAGCAUCCUGUUCAAAAUGCAGUGCAAGCCAAGGCAAGGGGCUUCUUCAAGCAAAAACCCAACAAGCUUCUCUUCCCAAACUCACAGCUUUUCAAGCAGUGGGGUUGGGACCUCCCUGAGGCUGAGCAGAAGGAGGCAGAGGACCUCUUCCAGAAGUUUGGCUACAAUGUUUACCUCAGUGACCAGUUACCCCUCGAUCGCACCAUUCCAGACACACGAGAUUACAGGUGUCUUCGGAAGAGAUAUCCUUCACAACUCCCAUCUCUCAGCGUCAUCCUCAUAUUCGUGGAUGAAGCGCUGUCUGUUAUACAAAGGGCCAUCACUAGUGUCAUCAACCGGACCCCCCCUCCACUGCUGAAGGAGAUCAUCUUAGUGGAUGAUUUUAGCUCAAAUGGAGAAUUAAAGGCUUACUUGGAUGAGAAGAUUAAGCUUUACAACCAGAAGGCUCCAGGACUACUGAAAAUAAUACGGCACACCGAGAGAAAAGGUCUUGCUGCUGCUCGCAAUACCGGCAGGGAAGUGGCUACGGCUGACGUGGUUGCCAUCUUGGAUGCUCAUGUUGAAGUGAACGUUGGGUGGGCAGAGCCCAUCUUGGCUCGGAUUCAGGAAGACCGCACCGUGAUUGUGUCCCCUGUGUUUGACAACAUCCUUUUUGACACCUUUAAAUUGAAAAAGUAUGGACUGGCCGCUGACGGGUUUAACUGGGAACUAUGGUGCCGCUAUGAUUCACUGCCACAGGCCUGGCUUGAUCUGCAUGAUGUCACCGCUCCUGUGAAGAGUCCUUCCAUCAUGGGCAUCCUGGCUGCCAACAGGCUCUUCUUGGGAGAGAUUGGAUCUGUGGACAGUGGGAUGCUGACCUACGGAGGAGAGAACGUGGAACUUAGCCUGAGGGUGUGGCAGUGUGGUGGGAGCAUCGAGGUCUUGCCCUGCUCCAGGAUUGCCCACCUGGAGAGACACCACAAGCCCUACUCCCUGGACCUGAGUGUUCCCUUGAAGCGUAACGCGCUGAGGGUGGCCGAAAUCUGGAUGGAUGAGUACAAACACAUGGUCUACAUGGCCUGGAACGUACCUCUGCAGGAUGAAGUUCCAGGCACGCACAACUCAUCACGACAUACCUCGGGGGUAAGGUUUAUUUUUAUUAUUUUAAGUUUACAGAUGAAGAAACUGAAGCACAGAGUGGAAAGGAAGUUGUUUAAGAACUCCGGAAUCGAUUUUGGAGACAUUUCUUCCAGAAUGGCACUCCGGAAGAAACUGAAUUGCAAAACUUUUGACUGGUAUCUGAAAAAUGUUUAUCCAGUCCUGAAGCCAAUCAACAGCAUUGUGGGCUAUGGAAGAAUGAAAAACCCAUUGGAUGAGAGUGUCUGCCUGGACCAGGGAGCUAUUCCAGGCAACAGCCCCAUCAUGUAUCACUGCCAUCAGUACAGUCCGCAGAACGUCUACUACCACCUAACUGGGGAAUUCUACGUGGGACCACUGAUUGCUGAGAGAAACACUGAUGAUCGCUGUCUGACAGACCCUGGCAAAGAGGAGAAGCCCACUUUAGAGCCAUGUUCCAAGGCAGUCAAAUACAGACUGCACAUACAUUGGGAUUUUAAACAGGUUGUCAGCAAGGACAGCUCUUUCCCCAAAGUAGGAAACUACAUGCGACUUUCAGUGGCAGGUCAAGACCCACUCCACCCCUCCCCACCUCCACAUUCCCUGAACGGGGUAGGAUUUGUUCCAAUUCAGCUUUGCACCCUUCUAGUUCUUAACUCUGUGCCUUGUGCUUAGCAGAUGAUCAAUUAAUGUGGAUGAAUGAAAAGCUGUUGUCUAUUUUGGAACUUUGCAUGCAGUUCAAAAGUGUCUGUUUUCUCUAGUUUGUGUGACAAAUCAGCACAAAUAGUGGCUGAAAACAACAUAAAUAUGUUAUUUCACAGUUCUGGAGGUCAGAAGUCUGAAAUGGGUCUCACUGGAUUAAAAUCAAGGUGUCGGCAGGACUGCAUUCCUCUCUGGAAGUCCUAAGGGGAAAUCCCUUCUUUUCUGUUUGUUUUGUUUUCUGGUUUUGUCUUUUCCAUCUUCUAGAGGCUGCCUGUACUCUUGGGCUUGUGGCCUCUUCCACCUUCAUAGUCAGUGGUGGCUGAUCAAAUCUUUCUCACAUUGUGUCACUGAACCAUUGACUAUUGUUCCAUCUUUUUUUUUGGCUGCAUAGUGUGGCAUGUGGAAUCUUAGUUUCAAAACCAGGGAUUGAAACUGUGCCCCUCGCAGUGGAAGCUUAGAGUCUUAACCACUGGUCCGUCAGGGAAAUAAGGAUUCUGCCAUCUUUACAGGACCUUGUGAUGACAUUGGGCCCCUCUGGAUAUUCCAGGAUCAUCUAUCUUAAGGUCAAGCCCUACCUUGGAAAAAACAGCAAGAAGAAACCCUUUAGUGAGUGUGCUGCUUUUACAGCCAUCCCAGGGGACAGAUCUGUCUCCAUUAAGUGUCCAGUUGUUGAGAGCUGCAGCCGGCUGGCAGCUUCUUCAUUCCCCAACAUUGGAUGGGGAAGCCAAGCCCAGAAGAGAAAACAGCAUAAAAGUACACAUCAGACAUCCCGGUUCCAAUCUCUGCAUCUGACAGGCUACCUCACAAAGUCUUUGAGACCUUGACUUACCACCGGGUUUUAGGGACCUGUCCUACUCAACGGACAGCCUUCUCUCAUUUCUUCCUUUUUAUUGUUUUAUUUUUUCUUUCUUUCUUUUAAAAAACAUUUUUGGCUGUGCCACGUGGCUUGUGGAAUCUUAGUUCCCCAACCAGGGAUCGAACCGGUGCCCUUGGCAGUGAAGGCGUCGAGUCCUAGCGACUGGACUUCUGGGGAGGUCCCAGCUUCUUCCUUUCUAGGUUCCUGCAAAUUCCUGACCCUGGGGGGAAAACUGAAAAUCAUUUUACUUCUCUUUUGAUGCCAGGCAAUUGAACUUCCUUUGCCCUAAGCUUUCAUCACGAACCAUAUCCUGGGCUUUACCAUUCUUAACGAUACAGUCCUUUCAUUUGUCUUCAGAACUAAAAGAAUUUUUUACUCCAUGGAGUCUGCAGUUAGCAAAAUCAACAAGAGAUACAAUGUCUUCAAGUGUGUCAAAGGUUCCAGAUCAGUCUCUUCCUGAACUUGUACUUCACUCCCCCAGUGGAAGAUGCAGGAAGAUAUUUUCUCCAUCUUUUCCGAGCAUACCCUCUACAGACUGAUAUGGUGGAGGGAGAAGUAACCAACAAUAAGAACAAAAGAGUUGACCAAAGUUAAGCUUUUGAAAUAAAUUUCAUGAUUUAUGUUCAAUUUUUUUUCUUGGGGCCAUAGAAAAUGCAACAUUAACAAGCUCUGUUACAUGUAUCUCCAAGCAGGAAAACAAGUAGGUGUAACUGUCCUAGGUUAAGCUGUAUUCAUAAACAUCCCAUACCUCUCAGUGGGUUCUAUUGAAGGAUUAUUUAUUUCUCAGAGUACACAUUCUUCACUGGGAUUCUUGGGGCCCUAGGCUGAUGGAGAAGCUAUCUUCUCAAGUGCUCUCGAUCAUGAUGGUGGAGGAAAAGAGUUUGGGUAAUUCAGUGCUGUGGGUCAGAUGUGACAUAUGUCACAACGCAUCAGCUGGAAUGAGUCAUGUGACCCUGGCCUGCCCUAAGUGGACCAGGAAGGACACAAUCCUACCAUGUGCUCAGAAGGGAGAGAGAUGGAAAUAUUUGGUAAAGAGCAGCAACGACUACCAUCGUCUGCCCUCCUGGUCAUGAAAUGUUUGACCAUCACAGGCAAAAUACGCUUACCCUCUAAGGAAGGCAACCUAAAAGUCCUAUCCAGUCUGGGUACCAAGCUCAAAGUCUGGGACCUCCAGUGGUGGGGAGUAGUCUUUGCGUUCACAGGGGCAUAUUCUGGUCUCUACUUCAGUUAUGGAUGUGGUUCCUUCUAGUUCAGAAACUCAGUGAAUCAAAAAGACACGUUAUCUUUCCACCUUCCACAGCACAACGGACAGGGGUUGAUCUGGAACAGGAUACCCUUAAUAAAUAUUCCUGUUCAGAAAGGGGAGAGAAAAGGAAGCAGUGCAGCUAUCACUGGACCGUGGUUGUGGUGGUUCUGAACCCCAUUUAGCAGAAUUAGGUCCUCAUGUGGCUGCUUGGGAGGGAAUCCUAGCUCCCUGUUCUCUAUCCCCCAGCUUCCCCUCUGGAACAUUCUCUCUCACCUUCCUUGGUCCUAUUUGAGAUGGGCGUUGCAGGUAAUAGAUUCCUUGGGGACUGAGCAGCUUUCUUUGCUGGCUUCUUGACCAUACAGAUUUAGGGGCCUAAAGGUUGUUUAAAGUCUUGAACAAUCCUGAAUGGGUUAGUCCAUAUCGUGGUUCCUUUGGCAAUAUGACUGAUGUAAAUCAUCUUAGACUUUCUCCUAUCUGUCCAGGCAGCUCUCUGUGCCCCUAGCCAAUAACCACACCCAUGGAUCUUCUUGAGAUCAACCUAACAGUGGAUGAUUUGAGCCUAUUAGUUUUCUGUGGGAAGUUAUACACCUCUAGUUUCUUCCCCUCCUCCACAUGUCACUUUGUCUAAUUCAAAUACUUAUUUUUUGGAAGCCACAAUGUUAAUUAGGUUUUUGUAAAGCACUUUAUUUUGUUCAGGGGUAUCAGCAAUGGGCAUGAUUGCCCUACGCUUGAUUUGUUCUGUGAAGCAAGCCUGAGUCCUAAUCAGCCCUUCCGGCACAGAGGUCUUUUGAUUUUUGUUUACUUCUAUUUGGUAUGAGCAGCAAUUGCCUCUGCCAGCCCUGAAUAUCCCCACGUUUCUGGACUCUCUCUUGUCUAUUUCAUCCCUGCGUGCCAAAAGUAGCCACCACGUGAUGCUAACAAUCUGUUUUCCAACAUCUUCAUAGACGUACAAGUUUUUAGGUACAUUAUCUGCCUUCUAAGUUAUCACAGGCAGCAAUUUUUCAAAUAUUUUGCCACUCAUAACAUGGAAUACCCAUAACAGCCUCCAAUAAAGUGUCUUUACUGUCCAUUAUCUGGCCCUGGAGUGAAUGUCACAAAUUUUAAGUUUUGGUUACAGCAGCUUCUCGAUUCUGGGUACCACUGUGAAUCAGUUUGGAUAAACUAAAUUAUGCCGUGGUAACAAAUCCAUCCCCAAAUAUCAGAGAAUUAGAACAACAAAAGUUUUUUUCUUACUCAUGCUAUGUUCCUGUUGCUCUGUCUGGGGGCCCUGUCCCAUGUCACCUCUCUCUGGAACCCACCUCACUCUGCCGGAGCAGCCGCCACCAUGGGUGAUGCUGGCCACUGUGGCCGGGAUAAAAGAAGCUCUGGAGGCUUUAAUUAAAUAUUUUGGUCCAGAAAUGAUACGCAUCACUUCUGCUUACAACUCAUGAUUAGCAUUACUGGCCUGGUCCAACCACAGCUGAGCUAGCGUGUACAAUUCCCCACCUUCCUGUAAGGGAGAGAGCCGAAGACAUUUGCAAAAUAGCACUAAUGAUGCCACAGUAGGGGAAUGGGAUGUAGAAGCCGGCUGCAAACUUGUAAUACUAACAAGUGCUCUUGGGAUCCUUCCUGAACAGUAAAACGUUUUUUAUAGAUUUAUUUCUUGGCAGAGUUAGUCAUUUCCUAGGGCUGUUGAUUUGCAUGACACAGAUGUCUAAUGCAUCCCUUUCCCAAUAUACAGCUUCACUCAACUGAAAGCUGUUAGAGUUUUCUCUAGUGGAUUUUAUAGCAUCAUUAUCUCCACCACCACUUUCUGGUUGAGAUCAUCACCACCAUCACCAUCACUAUCAUCACCAUCAUCACCACCAUCAUCACCAUCACCACCACCAUCAUCACCACCAUCACCACCACCAUCAUCACCAUUACCACCAUCACCAUCAUCAUCACCAUCAUCACCACCACCAUCACCAUCAUGUUCAUCAUCACCACCAUCACCAUCACCACCAUCACCAUCAUCAUCACCAUCACCAUCACCAUCAUCAUCACCACCACCAUCACCAUUAUGUUCAUCAUCACCACCAUCACCAUCACCAUCAUCAUCAAAAACUUUGGCUAAGCAGCUAAUUACAAAUAAUGCUUAUCUAUAAGAUAUGUUUGCAUUUGUCCUUCCCUUUGUCACUUUAGUCCCGGGGAAAGCCCAGAGGGAGGGAAUUGAUCACAGGACACUGUCUGACUCAUCAUCCCUUUCCCAAACCAUCUAGAGAGAGGUGUGAUUCUUCUUAGGGAGGGUGUGUGUGUACAUACCUGGGCACAGGUAGGAACUGAGGGAGUUGACCACUUACCACUCUUUCCUUCCACAGAUGUCUGUGAGAGAAAGGGCAGUGAAAAGGACCAUUCACAGGGCAGUGAAAAGGACCAUUCAUAGAGAUUACUCAGAGAAUCAAGGCUAAGCUUCCCCAGAGGAAAACUACAAGGAUCCUACUGCCAGGGUAAUGAUAAACACACACACAUGCACACACAGAGAGAAAGUAGAAAAUGUAAUAAAAGAAACCUGUAAAAUAGAGUAGAAUGAUCAUUGAUACACCUGGGAUAAGUACAUUUUAAGAUCCAGGGCAAAGAGAAGAAUGUAAAUGGUUAUCAAAUUAUGUGCCACAUUUUAUCUGUUCCUCCUGGUUGGUACAUACAUCCAUUUGUAGGUGGUUCCUCCCUACUGGCACCAUUUUAUUUCUACCAUGUACUCCUAAUUUGAUGUAGAUAUGUUUUCACUGGAAGGUCUGCAUUGGUCUGGGAGGAUAGGAGCCCUGGGGUCCGUUCCCAGUUUUUGGUUUCCAGGACAAUCCUUUCUCUUGAUUUCCUUCUACCUCACUGAAAACCCCUUGGUCGUCUUUGCUGGCUCCUCUUCUUCCUGAACUUGAACUGUAAAUUGCAGAGUGCUGUGAAGGACUUGGUCCUGAUUAUGUUUCUCUUCAUUGUCCAUAUUCUGUCUGUCUAGGAGACUUUAAUGCCAUGGGUUUAAAUACUUCUAAAUAUUUUAAAUUGAUCAAUUAUACAUUUCUCUACCAUAUUCCAAACCUGGAUAAACAAUCACCUCCGUGAUGUCUUCAUUCACCUGUGUAAUUUGCUUCUCCAAGUGAAUAUGUCUAAAAAGGAGAUGGAUCUAGAUGGGUCCCAAUCUGUUUAGUCUCUCAUCUUCCCCUUCUCAAUAAAUGGCACCACCAACCCAUCCCGGUUGCUCAAACCCCGAACCUGGCAACCAUUGUUUAUUUCUCAUGUCCUAUCCAUCACCAAUUCCUGCUAAUUCUAUCUCCUAAACAUCUCACCGACCCCUCCAUCUUUACUCACCCUACCUUUUCUCUAAUCCAAGUCAUCAUCAUCUUUUCUCCAAAUCACUGCAAUUUCCUGGCCUCCUGAUUUUGUUUCCUUUGUCGCUUUGUAAUUUAUUCCCCUCUGUGAAACUUAUUCACAGCCUCUAUGUGAACCAUGUCCUGUCUCUUCUCCUCUUGAGAACUGUCAUUGGCUUCACAUCCAACAUCCUCAGAUAAAACCUGAACGCACGCCCCCCCUCCGCCGCCCAAAACCUGCCCCUGGCUCCUCUUCAACCUCAUCUUGUACAUCUCUCUCUGCUGCCCCUUCUCCUCCCAGCAUGUGGCUUUCAUUGUCAUCUUGAACACCCAUGGCCUGUCUAGGUCAGGGCUUUUGAACUUGCCUGCCCCGAAUGCUCUUCCCUGCUUUUAGCAAGUCUGGCUCAUUCUCAUCUUUGACUUCUCAGUUGAACUAUUACCCCUUCAGAGGGAACUUUCCCAACCACCCUCUUCAAAGCAGAAUCCCCAAGUUCAUUUCUGACUCAGCAUCCCAUUUCUUUUCUUCAGAGCAUUGGCUACAAUAUGUAAAUGUCUUCUUUAUUGUUUUCUGUUAAAAUUUUCUACCUAGAAUGGUAUGUAUUUACUGUGUGAAAAUGUAAGCUCAUAAGAGCAGAUGGUUUGUCCAGAUCACUUCUAAACCCCCAGCACCUGGCACAUGGUGGGCACCCAGUAGCUUCUCAGUGAAAACUUGUUAAAUAAAUGGUUCCUACUAUCA